rnacentral:rRNA from 1 species
AGUGAACGCUGGCGGUAGGCCUAACACAUGCAAGUCGAACGGCAGCACCGUAAGAGCUUGCUCUUACGGGUGGCGACUGCCGGACGGGUGAGGAAUAACUCGGAAUCUUCUUUUUCGUAGGGGCUAACGUAGGGAAACAUACGCUAAUACCGCAUACCACCUACGGGUGAAAGCAGGGAAUCUUCGGACCUUGCGCGAUUGAAUGGCCCGCUGUCGGAUUAGCUAGUUGGGGGGGUAAAGGCCCACCAAGGCGACGAUCCGUAGCUGGGCGGAAAGGAUGGUCGCCGGCAUUGGAACUGGACCAGGGUCCAGACUCCUGCGGGAGGCAGCAGUGGGGAAUAUGGGGCAAUGGGGGCAAGCCUGAUCCAGCCAUACCGCGUGGGUGGAGGAGACCUUGGGGUUGGGAAGCCCUUUUGUUGGUAGAGAAAAGCAGCAGGUUAAUACGCCGCUGUUCUGACGGUACCCAAAGAAUAAGCACCGGCUAACUUCGUG